rnacentral:rRNA from 1 species
UACGAAGGGGGCUAGCGUUGUUCGGAAUUACUGGGCGUAAAGGGCGCGUAGGCGGUGUGUCAAGUCAGGCGUGAAAGCCCCGGGCUCAACCUGGGAACAGCACUUGAGACUGGCACGCUCGAGUUCGGGAGAGGAUGGUGGAAUUCCCAGUGUAGAGGUGAAAUUCGUAGAUAUUGGGAAGAACACCGAUGGCGAAGGCAGCCAUCUGGACCGACACUGACGCUGAGGCGCGAAAGCGUGGGGAGCAAACAGG